GGGCCCGCACAAGCGGAGGAACAUGUGGUUUAAUUCGAUGAUACGCGAGGAACCUUACCCGGGCUCGAACGGCUAUAGAAUAACGAUGAAAGUUGUUAGCCAGCAAUGGCUGUAGUCGAGGUGCUGCAUGGUUGUCGUCAGCUCGUGCCGUGAGGUGUCGGCUUAAGUGCCAUAACGAGCGCAACCCUUACCGUCAGUUACCAUCAAGUAAAGUUGGGGACUCUGGCGGGACUGCCACCGCAAGGUGCGAGGAAGGUGGGGAUGACGUCAAAUCAGCACGGCCCUUACGUCCGGGGCGACACACGUGUUACAAUGGGGGGGACAAAGGGCAGCUACCCGGCGACGGGAUGCUAAUCUCCAAACCCUCUCCCAGUUCGGAUCGAAGUCUGCAACCCGACUUCGUGAAGCUGGAUUCGCUAGUAAUCGCGCAUCAGCCAUGGCG
rnacentral:rRNA from 1 species